CGUCAGAACGAAUAUAUGUAACUAUAAAAAUAUUAAAAUUAAUUUCGCCCCCAGUGAUGGCUAGAUAAGUGCCGGAGCCGGAUAAGACACUGCGCGGUUGCAACGAGGAAGCAUGUGGCAAAGAUUGUUGUAACGCGUCCGCUUUGCCGUCCCCUGAAUCGACUGAUGGUUGACCAUGAAGAGCUGGAUCUCAUUGGAAUGGACAAUGGUGCGAUCGACGACGGUUCCCGGAACAACAUUGUUGAACUUAUUUUAUUGCGAUGGAGCUCCGUUCGGAAAGAAGCGCGUAUGAUGCCGCUUAACUACAAUGACGCAGCAAAUCUUGGGUUUAAUAUGCAUCUGAAAGGAAGCGAAGCAGGCGCAGAAAUCCCCAUCAACUCUUCAUUCUUAAUCUUGGGAAACUGUACAUCGCUUCCACCAUCAAGAUAAUAGAUAAUGUGCUCGGGAUUGGAUGUGCGGAACUGAUGAUAGACACGCAAGUGCUCAAGAGCUACCGACUUCAUGUCCUCAAUCUCCUCCAAGGCAGAGCGUUGCAAGCGAUAUUGCAUGUUAUAUGAAGCCCCGAAUGGAUCAUGGGAGGCGGCAACACCCACCACACUGGGGAUCUCUCGCUGAUCGGGCGAGUCACAUCGGCACCCAAAAACAUGGUCUUCUUUGGCAGACAGUGUAGGUCAUCCCGUAGCUUGUGAUUGGUGCCGUUCAGUUUUGCAUUAACCUUAAGUAGAAUGCUGCCAAUAACCUGCGCGUUACAUUUGCGCUCGACUGUGAUCCGCUUAAUGCAUUGUGUGAGAAUGCCAUCCUUCAGCUCAGCCUUUUACUUCACGACAUCAAAAAAGCGCCCGAAAUUUGGUAUAAUAACGAACAGCAAAUCAAAUUAAUUUCGAAAAAGGAGCAUCCAGUUCACGUUCAUCUUUGUAAUUCCGUUUCUCGUCCUUGGUAUCCAAUGGUGUAUGUGUAUCCAUGAAAAUUCUAAGCAAAAAACC